CCUACGGGGGGCUGCAGUGAGGAAUAUUGGUCAAUGGACGAGAGUCUGAACCAGCCAAGUAGCGUGAAGGAUGACUGCCCUAUGGGUUGUAAACUUCUUUUAUAAAGGAAUAAAACGAGGCACGUGUGCCUUUUUGCAUGUACUUUAUGAAUAAGGAUCGGCUAACUCCGUGCCAGCAGCCGCGGUAAUACGGAGGAUCCGAGCGUUAUCCGGAUUUAUUGGGUUUAAAGGGAGCGUAGAUGGGUUGUUAAGUCAGUUGUGAAAGUUUGCGGCUCAACCGUAAAAUUGCAAUUGAUACUGGCAGUCGUGAGUACAGUUGAGGUAGGCGGAAUUCGUGGUGUAGCGGUGAAAUGCUUAGAUAUCACGAAGAACCCCGAUUGCGAAGGCAGCUUACUAAACUGGGACUGACAUUGAUGCUCGAAAGUGUGGGUAUCAAACAGGAUUAAUACCCCUGUAGUC
rnacentral:rRNA from 1 species